rnacentral:rRNA from 1 species
AGUUACACUCCCAACCCCUGUGAACAUACCACUUGUUGCCUCGGCGGAUCAGCCCGCUCCCGGUAAAACGGGACGGCCCGCCAGAGGACCCCUAAACUCUGUUUCUAUAUGUAACUUCUGAGUAAAACCAUAAAUAAAUCAAAACUUUCAACAACGGAUCUCUUGGUUCUGGCAUCGAUGAAGAACGCAGCAAAAUGCGAUAAGUAAUGUGAAUUGCAGAAUUCAGUGAAUCAUCGAAUCUUUGAACGCACAUUGCGCCCGCCAGUAUUCUGGCGGGCAUGCCUGUUCGAGCGUCAUUUCAACCCUCAAGCACAGCUUGGUGUUGGGACUCGCGUUAAUUCGCGUUCCCCAAAUUGAUUGGCGGUCACGUCGAGCUUCCAUAGCGUAGUAGUAAAACCCUCGUUACUGGUAAUCGUCGCGGCCACGCCGUUAAACCCCAACUUCUGAAUGUUGACCUCGGAUCAGGUAGGAAUACCCGCUGAACUUAAGCAUAUCAAUAAGCGGAGGAA